CCACACCCAGAGCCUGACUGGCAAGGAAAGGGCGGUGGCCAUGUAAGAGUCACCAUCAGGAGGAUCCGAUCCAGGAUGCCACCUUGCACUUAGUCACCGUGUCUAUUUAUGGUGCAAUGUUGUCUUUAAGAUGGAUAACAUUGUGCUUGCAAGUCUGAAUUCUAGCAUUAAAGAUGUAUUGGUGAAGG